rnacentral:rRNA from 1 species
UACCGUGAGGGAAAGGCGAAAAGAACCCCGGCGAGGGGAGUGAAAAAGAACCUGAAACCGUGUACGUACAAGCAGUGGGAGCCCCACCACUAAGCCAGUGGUGAACUCCACAUACGCAUCCUUUGCUGAGGAUACGGUUAACGGAGCGAAAGCGACGUUCAACCUCAAAAGAAGCAGAGGGGGCUUAGUGGUGGGGUGACUGCGUACCUUUUGUAUAAUGGGUCAGCGACUUAUAUUCUGUAGCAAGGUUAACCGAAUAGGGGAGCCGGAGGGAAACCGAGUCUUAACCGGGCGUUAAGUUGCAGGGUAUAGACCCGAAACCCGGUGAUCUAGCCAUGGGCAGGUUGAAGGUUGGGUAACACUAACUGGAGGACCGAACCGACUAAUGUUGAAAAAUUAGCGGAUGACCUGUGGCUGGGGGUGAAAGGCCAAUCAAACCGGGAGAUAGCUGGUUCUCCCCGAAAGCUAUUUAGGUAGCGCCUCGUGAAUUCAUCUCCGGGGGUAGAGCACUGUUUCGGCUAGGGGGCCAUCCCGGCUUACCAACCCGAUGCAAACUGCGAAUACCGGAGAAUGUUAUCACGGGAGACACACGGCGGGUGCUAACGUCCGUCGUGAAGAGGGAAACAACCCAGACCGCCAGCUAAGGUCCCAAAGUCAUGGUUAAGUGGGAAACGAUGUGGGAAGGCCCAGACAGCCAGGAUGUUGGCUUAGAAGCAGCCAUCAUUUAAAGAAAGCGUAAUAGCUCACUGGUCGAGUCGGCCUGCGCGGAAGAUGUAACGGGGCUAAACCAU